rnacentral:tRNA from 1 species
UCCCUGGUAGUCCAGUGGCUAGGACUCCAUGCUUCCAGUGCAGGGGGCCUGGGUUUGAUCCUUGGUCAGGGAA